GGUUCCAUCUAUUCUAAUUACUGCGUAUGGUUCUUCUAUCAUAGGCCUUGCUCCGUUCCUCAUCAUUCGUUUCCUUAUAUUCAUUUUCCUAAGACCACUAUACAGUUCUUCAUUCAUGUUUCUCUUAAUUAUUAUUUUAUGUUUCAAAUAUUUUCCGCUAUCCAAUGUGAGCUCGACGAGCAAUGCGCAUACUAUACGUGUUGCAAAAUAAUUAAACUUAUAAGCCAGAUUUUUAUCUUAUAUUUUUUCCUUCUUCCCUUACCAUUAGGAUUAUCGUCGAUUUUGAUCUAUAUUAUUUCUCUUACGGCUUUGCUCCCCCUCCGAACAGUUUUUUUUAGGGGGGGGUUGAAAUCGUACCAAAGGUAGCCGUUAUUGGAAAGUGCGGGCUGGAUCACCUCCUUUUUAAGAGAAAGAUAAAUUAAGGUUAAUUCCAUUAAUUCUUCCCUACUUUUUUCUUUUGAUAAGAGAGUUUUUAAAACCAGUGUUAUUUAUGUAAGUUUAAGAGAAGUUUAUGUAUUAAAUUAUUGAUAUUAGAUAGUUGUAUUAGGCUUAGACUUAAUUUUAGGUCAUUUUGGGGGUUU
rnacentral:misc_RNA from 1 species